UACGGAGGUGGCGAGCGUUACUCGGAAUCAUUGGGUGUAAAGGGCAGGUAGGCGGUUUGUUAAGUGAGGGGUGAAAUCUCCCGGCUCAAUCGGGAAACUGCCUUUCAAACUGGCAGACUUGAGUGUGAUAGGGGGAGGCGGAAUUAGCAGUGUAAGGGUGAAAUCUGUAGAUAUUGCUAAGAACACCAGCGGCGAAGGCGGCCUCCUGGAUCACAACUGACGCUGAUCUGCGAAAGCUAGGGGAGCAAACAGA
rnacentral:rRNA from 1 species